rnacentral:lncRNA from 1 species
UUAUAAUAAUAAUAAUAAUCAUAAUAAUAAUAAUAAUAAUAAUAAUAAUAAUAAUAAUAAUAAUGAUUAAUAUUAUUAUUGUUUUCUUCUCUCUUUACAAUACAAUUUAAUUUUAUCAGUUAAUAUCAGGUAACCACUAAUCCCACACCCGAAACCAGGCACAAAUAAACUUUCUUAUUGUUGCAGCUAAUAAAUUUUAUUUUAGAUCAACUCUGGGCCUGCGGCCCAAAUAGGUUCUCACAAUACCAACCACCCCAGAUUCACUCCCGACCCAAAAAGAAUUUCGCCGCUGCGGAAUGGUCAUUCGGCGUAACACCACUUGGCCAAGCCAAUCUACGGCCAGUCAUCGCAACCUCCAUGGCUGCACCACUCUCGCAACUCUGACAACCUCAACAAAACACAGAACUUGCACGCAUCACAGAAAUGGGAAGCAUCACAACCCAACAGAAUUUUUCCAAUUCAAAACCCUAUCCCUAAAAUUAGAGAACAAAAGGAACCCCAAAAGUCAAAACUCCCAAAUUUCCCAAUUUUAGAACAAGCUCAGGAACCCUAAAGUGCGAAAUCGGGACACGAAUCACUCAACUGCAACGCCGACCUUCCUCGCAACAUGUUCACACCCAACCUCCGUCCUUAUACGAAAAUAGGAAAAAUCCCUAAGCCCAAACGAAAAACGGAGGAAGGUGGAGGGGAAGGAACUUGCGCUGCGAAUCCGAACGGCCAGCGUCCUCACUUAGUCGUCACGAACUCGUAACACCAUCACUCCAUCAUCGCCUCGCCACUGCUCGCGGAAAAGGAGAAGAGAAAGGAAAGAACUUCCUUCUGUCGUGCACGUUUCAAGACAAGAGAAAAUAGAAAAGGAACAAAAUGAGUCACCGCAAGCGUGACCCCCCCUUCCAAAAGAAUGAG